UGAAGUUAACGCAUUAAGCACUCCGCCUGGGGAGUACGGCCGCAAGGUGAAACUCAAAGGAAUUGACGGGGGCCCGCACAAGCGGUGGAGCAUGUGGUUUAAUUUGAAGCAACGCGAAGAACCUUACCAGGUCUUGACAUCCUUUGACAACCCUAGAGAUAGGGCUUCCCCUUCGGGGGCAGAGUGACAGGUGGUGCAUGGUUGUCGUCAGCUCGUGUCGUGAGAUGUUGGGUUAAGUCCCGCAACGAGCGCAACCCUUGAUCUUAGUUGCCAUCAUUAAGUUGGGCACUCUAAGGUGACUGCCGGUGACAAACCGGAGGAAGGUGGGGAUGACGUCAAAUCAUCAUGCCCCUUAUGACCUGGGCUACACACGUGCUACAAUGGACGGUACAAAGAGCUGCAAGACCGCGAGGUGGAGCUAAUCUCAUAAAACCGUUCUCAGUUCGGAUUGUAGGCUGCAACUCGCCUACAUGAAGCUGGAAUCGCUAGUAAUCGCGGAUCAGCAUGCCGCGGUGAAUACGUUCCCGGGCCUUGUACACACCGCCCGUCACACCACGAGAGUUUGUAACACCCGAAGUCGGUGGGGUAACC
rnacentral:rRNA from 1 species